rnacentral:rRNA from 1 species
UGAGGAAUAUUGGUCAAUGGGCGAGAGCCUGAACCAGCCAAGUAGCGUGCAGGAUGACGGCCCUAUGGGUUGUAAACUGCUUUUAUAUGGGAAUAAAGUGAGGGACGUGUCCCUUAUUGCAUGUACCAUACGAAUAAGGAACGGCUAAUUCCGUGCCAGCAGCCGCGGUAAUACGGAAGGUCCAGGCGUUAUCCGGAUUUAUUGGGUUUAAAGGGAGCGUAGGCUGUUUGUUAAGCGUGUUGUGAAAUGUAGGAGCUCAACUUUUAGAUUGCAGCGCGAACUGGCAGACUUGAGUGCGCACAACGUAGGCGGAAUUCAUGGUGUAGCGGUGAAAUGCUUAGAUAUCAUGACGAACUCCGAUUGCGAAGGCAGCUUACGGGAGCGCAACUGACGCUAAAGCUCGAAGGUGCGGGUAUCGAACAGG